AUCCAGCUAACGAGUCCCAAAUAGGACUAAACGCGUUCUGGAU
rfam:Schistosoma mansoni strain Puerto Rico chromosome 4, complete genome